GAUGAACGCUGGCGGCGUGCCUAAUACAUGCAAGUCGAGCGAAUGGAUUAAGAGCUUGCUCUUAUGAAGUUAGCGGCGGACGGGUGAGUAACACGUGGGUAACCUGCCCAUAAGACUGGGAUAACUCCGGGAAACCGGGGCUAAUACCGGCUAACAUGUUGAACCGCAUGGUUCGAAAUUGAAAGGCGGCUUCGGCUGUCACUUAUGGAUGGACACGCGUCGCAUUAGCUAGUUGGUGAGGUAACGGCUCACCAAGGGAACGAUGCGUAGCCGACCUGAGAGGGUGAUCGGCCACACUGGGACUGAGACACGGCCCAGACUCCUACGGGAGGCAGCAGUAGGGAAUCUUCCGCAAUGGACGAAAGUCUGACGGAGCAACGCCGCGUGAGUGAUGAAGGCUUUCGGGUCGUAAAACUCUGUUGUUAGGGAAGAACAAGUGCUAGUUGAAUAAGCUGGCACCUUGACGGUACCUAACCAGAAAGCCACGGCUAACUACGUGCCAGCAGCCGCCGUAA
rnacentral:rRNA from 1 species